rnacentral:rRNA from 1 species
CCUACGGGAGGCUGCAGUGGGGAAUAUUGCACAAUGGGCGCAAGCCUGAUGCAGCCAUGCCGCGUGUGUGAAGAAGGCCUUCGGGUUGUAAAGCACUUUCAGCGGGGAGGAAGGCGUUAAGGUUAAUAACCUUGGCGAUUGACGUUACCCGCAGAAGAAGCACCGGCUAACUCCGUGCCAGCAGCCGCGGUAAUACGGAGGGUGCAAGCGUUAAUCGGAAUUACUGGGCGUAAAGCGCACGCAGGCGGUCUGUCAAGUCGGAUGUGAAAUCCCCGGGCUCAACCUGGGAACUGCAUUCGAAACUGGCAGGCUAGAGUCUUGUAGAGGGGGGUAGAAUGCCAGGUGUAGCGGUGAAAUGCGUAGAGAUCUGGAGGAAUACCGGUGGCGAAGGCGGCCCCCUGGACAAAGACUGACGCUCAGGUGCGAAAGCGUGGGGAGCAAACAGGAUUAGAUACCCCAGUAGUC